rnacentral:lncRNA from 1 species
AUAUUUGUGUGUAUUUUUAACUUUUCUGUGAAACUGAAAACAGAAAAACACAAUAAAAAAAGAUAAAUUAGAAAACGUCCCGUCGGAUUUCAACUUCUUAAAGACGAUAAUAAUUCAUAAACGUGUCAACGGUUAUGUGUUCAGAUUGUCGAUGGGCGGUGGUCAGGGCCCCCCCUCCCCCCUCAAGUCCUCCAAAUUCCCAUCCUCUGCUUCUGCUGCCGCCAAGAGGAUCGGGAGAAGUCCGGCGUCAACAGCGUCCAACAUCAGGAGCUCUCGGUUGGCGAGCUCUCUCAGCGAUCUUUACGUCGACGUAGAGGACGCCUCGCCCCCCCCCCCGUCCGCCGUGUCUCUCAGCUCCUCCCCCUCCCACAUGGCCCCGCCCCCUCUGUGUCGCUAUGGUAACGGCCCUCGUAGCACGCAGCACGAGGUAAACAACAAUGGCGGCGGUCCGUACGCCGACUCUGUGGCGCCCAGCGGCAGGAUUCAGGACCUGAGCCCCUACAGGGUCUCCUACAGUGCUCUGAGGGGCCGGUCAGGGACGCUACUUGAGCGCGAUCCAUACCUGUAAGUCUCCUCCGACACAGCUGCAGCUCUCUCUGAUUUGUCUAAUAUAUAAUAUUAUAUU